UACCCUGCAUUCUGAAUCAAUUUUUCUCUUACCUAACCUUUUCGCCAUUAUUCCGUUCUCUCUUUGACAGGGCCGGGCCUAGGAUUUUUUUUCUGGAGGCCAAAUAGGAAAAAAAUUCGAUAGCGUCUCUGGUAUUGUUCAGAGGGCCGGGCCAAAUGUGCUGACGGGCCGUAUCCGGCCCGCGGGCCGUAGUUUGGUGACCACUGGUGUAGACCAAUUUGGCGUGACCCUGAACACCCUGUCAUUUAGACUUGACACCUGUACACCUUAACGUCCAACCAGACUUCAGUGUAACAAACUGUAACCAUAACUAAGAGGAGGCAGUACAACAGGAGUCAAGUCUCACUUGAGUUAGUGAAUGAGUUAGUCUUUACUGUACAGGGUUAGCAGUUACGAGUGAUGGCAUACAACAUACAUGUUUGACCAAUAAAUAAAUAACUUGUUUACAUUUGAUUUGAAAUGUAUUUGACAAUGGAUGCUCAAUGCAAGAGCAUUUGAGGAAUAUAACGGUUCCCUUUUCUAUGUAGAAACAUAAAUCAGUCAGUAUUAUCAGUAAUGGCACUCUCACUAUGUCUAGUAUGCAACAUUCUCCCAUUCUUUGUAUGGGUGUAUUUGCUUACAUUUGGGUUUGAGCGGAGGUUGAUAUUUCUCCUCUACGACUGUAUAAACAUUGUUUUAGUGAGUUAGAAUAAGAGGGGAAUGAAAGGUCUCAUUCAGGUGACCGUAGUGUACGUGUAGGUAUGUACGGCAGGACCAAAUCGGUGCAAGUGAGGAUAGUGGGACUGAGGAUGUAGUCAGUGACAGUGUACACGAAAGAUGGGCGCCGAAGGGGAUGGCUGCCUGUCUUACGGGCUCCUAACCAAUUAUGCUAUUUUGUGUGUUUUUUUUCACAUUGUAGUUAUUUUGUACAUAAUGUUGAUGAUACUGGCUCUUUUGACCUAAAAUAGCUUAUGGAUAUCAGAACAGCGAUUACUCACCUUGAACUGGACAAAGAUUUUUUCUUUAAUGAUUCUGACGCAAGGAUAUAAUGCCUCUCCCAGACAAUGUCCAAAUCCAAAGACUAUAGCAGGAAGAACGAAUGACUCGCUCAAUAGGGAAGUGGUCAGAUGACACGGAUGCUACACUACAGGAAUGUUGUGCUAGCACAGACUGGAAUCUGUUCCCGGAUUCAUCCAAUUGUAUUGAAGAGUAUAUGUUAGAGGAAAUUAUGGUUGAAAUGACUAAUUAUGUAUACAUUCCAAUCAGAACUGACUAGUCCAAAUGCUAUAAUGUACUGUACAUAUGAAUUUUCUCUCUUGCUCCCAUUCCCAAUUGUAUAUAAUGUAGUCAGGAGUUUAGUAACAAUGAAGGUCUGUUCCUUAGUUCAUUCAUUGUACAAUCUCCAGGUGGCAGGAACGGCCAAUCUCCAGACUGUCUAAGAAUGCUGAUUUAUACUGACUGACCUUGACUUCGUGCUGAUAACGCGAAGGCUUGAGAGCUAGGGGGCCCCUCUACUUGUGAAAUAGAUAGAACGUUUAGAAAACGCUGACGUCAUUUUCAGUUUAUAACCUGUGGAAAUAUGUGUAUGUGGCAGUACUCACUUGAAUUAAACGCUGUUUACCUGGCUUUUAAGACUGGUCUCGAUCUACUUCAUGCAUAAUUAAUGAACUUACACCUCAUUAACCAGUUGCUCCUACCCUCUACUUUUUUGAACAUUUUGUUAAAAAUCGCGCAACAUUUCAGCGCCCUGCUACUCAUGCCAGGAAUAUAGUACGUUCAUAUGGUUAGAAUGUGUGGAUAGGAAACCCUCGGACGUUUUUAAAACUGGUUAAAUCACGACUGUGGCUAUAACAUAACGUGCGUUACAUCGGAAAGCGCAGGAAAACCUGAUCACAGAAAAUGGAAAUAAAUAUCCUUGCGCCACUUCCAGCAAUUGUUAACAGUGAGCCGAAUUAGAUAAGACCGAGCAUUCAACUCCCACAGCAUCCCCAUGUUGUCUAGAGUCUUGUAAAUUGAAUCAUCUUUGAUUCUUGGUUGAACCGAAACAGGGGCACCACUUACCUCCAGUCUCCGCCCAGAUCAUUCUGGAAGAGCUCUCUCGUGAAAUUUUUUCCAAGACGACAGCUAAUGAUUUUUACAUCGCCUACGGAUGAUUUUUAUCGCUCAUUAACGUUUACUAAUACCUAAAGUAGCAUUACAAACGUAUUUCGAAGUGUUUUGUGAAAGUUUAUCGUCUACUUUUUUUAUUUUAAAAAAUGACGUUACGUUGUGAAAUCGCUGUUUUUUUCGUUUAUCACACAGUCUACAUAUAACAAUAUCUUGGCUUUAUAUGGCCCGAUUUAAUCGAAAUAAAGACCCAAUAGUGUUUAUGGGACAUCUAGGAGUGCCAACAAAGAAGAUGGUGAAAGGUAAUGACUGUUUUCUAUUUUAUUGUGCGGUUUGUGUAACGCCGAAAUGCUAAUUAUUUUGUUUACGUCCCCUGCUGUGCUUUUGUGUUGUAGUGUAUUGGUGCAUGCUAUCAGAUAAUAGCUUCUCAUGCUGUCGCCGAAAAGCAUUUUAAAAAUCUGACUUGUUGCCUGGAUUCACAACGAGUGUAGCUUUAAUUCGAUACCCUGCAUGUGUAUUUUAAUGAACUUUUGAGUUUUAACUAAUACUAUUAGCAUUUAGCGUAGCGCAUUUGCAUUUCCAGAGCUCUAGUUGGGAUGCAAGCGUUCCAAGUAGAAGCAAGAGGUUAAUGAACUAGAGCGAGUGCGAAUUUGAUUUUGGCUAUAAAACAUAUAGGAAUUUAGAAAUUCCACUAACAGUAUACCACCUCAGUCACCGGCUUCAUCAAUAAAUGCAUCGAUGACGUCUUCCCCACAGUGACCGUAUGUCCAUAUCCCAACCAGAAGCCAUGGAUUACAGGCAACAUCCGCCGCAUCCAACGAGCGGGAAACUAAUCCGGAUGCUUAUAAGAAUUCCUGCUAUGCCCUCAGACAAAACCAAUCAAAUAGGCAAAGCCUCAAUAUAGGACUAAGAUUGAAUCGUACUACAUCGGCUCUGAUGCUCGUCAGUUGUGGCAGGGCUUGCAAACUAUUAUUCACAUUGACGGGUCUGUAGUGGAACGGGUCGAGAGUUUCAAGUUCCUUGGUGUCCACAUCAUCAACAAACUAUCAUGGUCCAAACAAACCAAGAAAGUCGUGAAGAGGGCACAACAACACCAUUUUCCUCUCAGGAGACUGAAUAGAUUUGGCAUGGGUCCCCAGAUCCUCAAAAAGUCCUACAGCUGCAUCAUCGAGAGCAUCCUGACCGGUUGCAUCGCCGCCUGGAAUGGCAACUGCUCGGCAUCCGACCGUAAGGUGUUAGAGGGUAGUGCGUACAGACCAGUACAUCACUGGGGCCAAGCUUCCUGCCAUCCAGGACCUACAGUUGAAGUCGAAAGUUUACAUACAACUUAGCCAACUACAUUUAAACUCAGUUUUUCACAUUUCCUGACAUUUAAUCCGAGUAAAGAUUCCCUGUCUUAGGUCAGUCAGGAUCACCACUUUAUUUUAAGAAUGUGAAAUGUCAGAAUAAUAGUAGAUGCUUGGGGUCAUUGCUUGGGGUCAUUGUCCAUUUGGAAGACUUAUUUGCGACCAAGCUUUAACUUCCUGACUGAUGUCUUGAGAUGUUGCUUCAAUAUAUCCAUAUAAUUUUCCUUCCUCAUGAUGCCAUCUAUUUUGUGAAGUGCACUAGCCCCUCCUGCAGCAAAGCACCCCACAACAUGAUGCUGCCACCCCCGUGCUUCACGGUUGGAAUGGUGUUAUUCGGCCUGCAAGCCUCCCCCUUUUUCCUCCAAACAUAACGAUGGUCAUUAUGGCCAAACAGUUCUAUAUUGUUUCAUCAGACCAGAGGACAUUUCUCCAAAAAGUAUGAUCUUUGUCCCAAUUGUGCAGUGCAAACCGUAGUCUGGCUUUUAUAUGGCGGUUUUGGAGCAGUGGCUUCUUCCUAGCUGAGCGGCCUUUCGGGUUAUGUCGAUAUACGACUCGUUUUACUGUGGAUAUAGAUACUAUUAUGCCUGUUUCCUCCAGCAUCUUCACAAGGUCCUUUGCUGUUGUUCUGGGAUUGAUUUGCACUUUUCGCAGCAAAGUACGUUCAUCUCUAGGAGACAGAACGUGUCACCUUCCUGAGCGGUAUGACCGCUUCGUGGUCCCAUGGUGUUUAUACUUGCAUACUAUUGUUUGUACAGAUGAACCAGACUUGUGGAGGUCUACUAUUUUUUUUCUGAGGUCUUGGCUGAUUUGUUUUGAUUUUCCCAUGAUAUCAAGCAAAGAGGCACUGAGUUUGAGGGUAGGCCUUGAAAUGCAUCCAUUUUAGGCCUUGAAAUACAUUUUUAGCCUGUAAUCAACCCCAAAAUGCUGAUGCUCCAGAUACUCAACUAGUCUUAAGGCCAGUUUUAUUGCUUAUUUAAUCAGUACAACAGUUUUCAGCUAACAUAAUUGCAAAAAGGUUUUCUAAUGAUCAAUUAGCCUUUUAAAAUGAUAAACUUGGAUUAGCUAACACAACAUGCCGUUGGAACACAGGAGUGAUGGUUGUUGAUAAUGAGCCUCUGUACUCCUAUGUAGAUAUUCCAUGUAAAAAAUCUGCCGUUUCCAGCUACAAUAGUCAUUUACACCAUUAACAAUGUCUACACUGUAUUUCUGAUCAAUUUGAUGUUAUUUUAAUAAAUUUAAAAAAUUACAUUUUAUUUAAAAAACAAGGACAUUUCUAAGUGAUCCCAAACUUUUGAACGGUAGUGUGUAUAUCACCUUUAUUUUAACAGGGAAGACAUGUUGAGACCUAGGUCUCUUUUACAAAUGCACCCUGUGUAAAUAUAUAUAUAUAUAUAGUGGCCAAAAGUUUUGUCUUUAGGUAUUUUUGUCAGAUGUUACUAUGGAAUACUGAAGUAUAAUUACAAGCAUUUCAUAAGUGUCAAAGGAUUUUAUUGACAAUUACAUAAAGUUGAUGCAAAAAGUCAAUAUUUGCAGUGUUGACCCUUCUUUUUCAAGACCUCUGCAAUCCACCCUGGCAUGCUGUCAAUUAACUUUUGGGCCACAUCCUGACUGAUGGCAGCCCAUUCUUGCAUAAUCAAUGCUUGGAGUUUGUCAGAAUUUGCGGGGUUUUGUUUGUCCACCUGCCUCUUGAAGAUUGACCACAAGUUGUCAUUGGGAUUAAGAUCUGGGGAGUUUCCUGGCCAUGGACCCAAAAUAUAGAUGUAUUGUUCCCUGAGCCACUUAUUUAUCACUUUUGCCUUAUGGCAAGGUGCUCCAUCAUGCUGGAAAAGGCAUUGUUCUUCACCAAACUGUUCCUGGAUGGUUGGGAGAAGUUACUCUCGGAGGAUGUGUCGGUACCAUUCCUUAUUCAUGGCUGUGUUCUUAGGCAAAAUUGUGAGUAAGCCCACUCCUUUGGCUGAGAAGCAACCCCACACAUGAAUGGUCUCAGGAUGCUUUACUGUUGGCAAGACACAGGACUGAUGCUAGCUCUCACCUUGUCAUCUCCUUGUCAUCUGUGAAUACUUUCUGAAGGAACUGUACACCAGUGGAGGCUGCUGAGGGGAGGACGGCUCAUAAUAAUGGCUGGAAUGGAGCGAAUGGAAUGGCAUCAAACAGAUGGACACCAUGUUUUUGAUGUAUUUCAUACCAUUCCACCUAUUCCACUCCAGCCAUUACCAUGAGCCCGUGCUCCCCAAUUAAGGUGCCAUCAACCUUCUGUGAUGUACACAUUCAAAUAAAACACAGUCAUGGGAAGCACAUAUAAAACAUCACAAAUCACCCAUAAAAAUAGUUACUUUAUAUUGCCCGAACGGCACCAGAGCAUCAAGAUGAAAUGUAUUUUACAUUUUGUCACAGCAAUAUGGUGCAACUAAGAAUAACUAAAAGCAGAUUUACCAAGCUCAGUGGAGACCCCAGGAACCGCGAGUUAACCAAUUCUGUGAACGGGUUAAGCAACUCCGGUGUCCAUACUUCAACAGCAAAGUUAUGACUAAACAUGAUGUGUCCGUCAUUCUUGAAAAAGAAAGGAGAGCCUCACACUCUAGGAACUCAGAUGCAAUAAUUGAGUAACCUAACAACCAACGUUUCGACAGACGAGCUGUCUACAUCAGGGUAUAAUAUCAUUCUCCCUCUUACAGCUUGAGCAGCUGGGGCGCGCACGUUCGUGCGUGUGAGCCUACUCAUUUGUACGUGUUUGUUUGUGUUACAUGUAUAUUUCUUAAGUGAAUUCCCUAACGUGUGUGUGUUUGUGUGUGUGUGUGUGUGUGUGUGUGUGUGUGGAUGGAGGGGAAGGUGAAGGCUCCAGACGGUCAGUCAUUUGACUCCGAGGUACGGUUGUUCAAACGCUGUCAGGAUCUAUAGUCUCUCUUACUCACUCUGCUGGAGCAACAGCUUGAGGAGCAGAAACAGAUCCAAGCUUAGGAUUCUAAGGCUGUGGAGGAGAAAGCAGCCAAGAUCAAAGAGCGGGUGAUGCUGAAACUGUGUGAGUUUAGGGUGUAGAAUGCAGUUCUGAGAGAGACCAACGUUCAGCAGGAGACUCAGAUCCAAGAGCUACAGAAAAAGAUGCAGGCCGUGGAACAGAAGCGAAAAGGUGUCUCAGCACCCUGACGUCUGGCUGUUUCCAGGUACAAGGGAAAUCCCCCCAGUUCCUAACAGGCCUGAGCCCACCCAGAGGACCCUCAGCACCCAGCCUGAGGGAGAGGCCAAAGGGAGAACAACACCGACAGGACUUUAUGCUAAUAGUAAGCCAGAGCAUCGGCAGUAAUGCUACCAAAGACAAGCCCACAGAGAAACACCUGUUCACCAUGGUCACCUCCAGAAUCAGGGAGUUGACCCUUCUCAUCUCCAGCUACAUCAACAGCGCUCCUUCAACAAACAGAAAGCCACUCCCCACCACCUCUCUGCCCUCGUCUUACUGGUGGCUCAGCCUGUCGAUCUCAAGAGCAAAACGCUAAGGAGCAAGUCAACACGAGCGGUGGGCAGACCUAGCAAGGCACCUACUCUCCUGUGAUCCCCUCCAAGGGGACUGAGGAACUCCAGUGCAGAGACUUAUGACAUGGUACAUGGUACAAUGGUCAAUAGUGAGCCAUGUCUCAUCACAGGACACUUUCAUUCAUUCAGCUGUUGAUUCUUCUGUUCACGCACCAAAAAGAGAAAUGUCUGUAUUAUUUAUUGACAGACAGCCUUAAACUCCAAAGCCUUCUAUGAUUGAAGCUUGUCAGUAUCUUCUAUUGCUUGUUUUAUAUUCUUUGUAACUCUGUAGUCAAUGUUUACUUCCUGCCUUGUAACUUUUGUACCUCUGGAUACUUUUCUUCUUGAAUUACUGGGACUUAUAAUGCCAAUUUCCAACAGAGGAGCUUUAUGUGUUAUUUCUGGGUGUGAAAUAACUAAAGGAAACCAAAAUGAUCCGUGUGUGUAUGAUAUAGCCUUAAAGGGCCAAUCCGGAGCUUCAACAAUAACAAAGUGGACACCCUGUUGAACCAUGUCGUGAAGCUAAACAGUGUUUGUUUACAUUGACUUCAUUUACAAACAUUUGAGUAAAACAACAUUAUAUCUGGGUUCUGAUGGGGUAUGAUAGUUGAAGUAAUUUUCUUCAAUAAUCAAUGGCUAUAUAUACAUAUAAAGAUAAUAUAUAUAUAUAUACUACCGUGCAAAAGUUUGGGGUCACUUACAAAUACAGUGUAGACAUUGUUAAUGUUGUAAAUGACUAUUGUAGCUGGAAACGACUGAUUUUCUAUGGAAUAUCUACAUAGGCGUUCAGAGGCCCAUUAUCAGCAACCAUCACUCCUUUGUUCCAAUGGCACGUUGAGUUAGCUAAUUGAAGUUUAUCAUUUUUAAAGGCUAAUUUAUCAUUAGAAAACCCUUUUGCAAUUACGUUAGCACAGCUGAAAACUGUUGUUCUGAUUGAAGAAGCAAUAAAACUGGUCUUCUUUAGACUAGUUGAGUAUCUGGAACAUCAGCAUUUGUGGGUUUCGAAUACAGGCUCAAAAUGGCCAGAAACAAAUAACUUUCCUCUAAAACUAGACAGUCUAUUCUAGUUCUGAGAAAUGAUGGCUAUUCCAUGUGAGAAAUUGCCAAGAAACUGAAGAUCUUGUACACCGCUGUGUACUACUCCCUUCACAGAAAAGUGCAGACUGGCUCUAACCAGAAUAGAAAGAGGAGUGGGAGGCCCCGGUGCACAACUGAGCAAAAGGACAAGUACAGUAGAGUGUCUAGUUUGAGAAACAGACACCUCACAAGUCCUCAACUGGCAGCUUCAUUAAAUAGCUAAAUUAAAUAAAAAAUGUCAGUCUCUCGAUGUGCAAAACUGAUAGAGACAUACCCCAAGCGACUUACAGCUGUAAUCGCAGCAAAAGGUGGCGCUACAAAGUAUUAACUUAAGGGGGUUGAAUAAUUUUGCACGCCCAUUUUUUCAGUUUUUGAUUUGUUAAAAAAGUUUGAAAUAUCCAAUAAAUGUCAUUCCACUUCA